UUUAAAGUCUGACCUGCCCAAUGAAUUUUAAAUGGCCGCGGUAUUUUGACCGUGCAAAGGUAGCAUAAUAAUUAGUUUUUUAAUUGAAAGCUGGAAUGAAAGGUUGGACGAGAAAAUAACUGUCUCAAUUUAAUUUUAAUUAUAAUUUUAUUUUUAAGUAAAAAAGCUUAAAUUUUUUUAAAAGACGAGAAGACCCUAUAGAGCUUUAUAUAUUUAAAUUUAAUAGUAUUUUAGAUUAUUUUUAAAUUUUAUUUUUAAAUGUAUUUUAUUGGGGUGAUAGAAAAAUUUAAUUAACUUUUUUUAAAGAUAAACAUUAAUUUAUGAUUAAUUGAUCCAUUAUUUAUGAUUAUAAGAUUAAGUUACCUUAGGGAUAACAGCGUAAUUUUUUUUUAGAGUUCUUAUCGAAAGAAAAGAUUGCGACCUCGAUGUUGGAUUAAAAUUAAUAUUUGGUGUAGAAGCUAAAUUAUUAGGUCUGUUCGACCUUUAAAAUUUUACA
rnacentral:rRNA from 1 species